rnacentral:misc_RNA from 1 species
AAGUCGUAACAAGGUUUCCGUAGGUGAACCUGCGGAAGGAUCAUUAGCGUAAUUCUGGUUGAAAAACCGAGGAUUUCCACACUUGUGUUUUAAGCAAAAGGUUUUCAAAGUGUUCUCUUGUUUUCUUUACUAGAAAAGGGAGACACUAGGAAUUUUUUGCGAACUCAAAAAAUGUCUCUUUUUUUCUUUUCUGUUUGAUUACAGAGGAAGAAGGACGGUAUAAACUUUUUUAUUAUCAAUAAUAAAUAAAAACUUUCAACAACGGAUCUCUUGGUUCUG